rnacentral:rRNA from 1 species
UAGGGAAUCUUCCGCAAUGGGCGCAAGCCUGACGGAGCAACGCCGCGUGAGUGAUGAAGGCCUUCGGGUUGUAAAACUCUGUCUUCUGUGAAGAACCAUCCUGUGCAGAGAAAGCUCAGGACCUGACGGUAACAGAGGAGGAAGCCCCGGCUAACUACGUGCCAGCAGCCGCGGUAAUACGUAGGGGGCAAGCGUUGUCCGGAUUCACUGGGCGUAAAGCGCGCGCAGGCGGUCUCUCACGUCCGGGGUGAAAGCCCAGAGCUCAACUCUGGGAUUGCCUUGGAUACGGGGGGACUUGAGGAUCGGAGAGGCAAGGGGAAUUCCACGUGUAGCGGUGAAAUGCGUAGAGAUGUGGAGGAACACCUGUGGCGAAGGCGCCUUGCUGGCCGAUUUCUGACGCUGAGGCGCGAAAGCGUGGGGAGCAAACA